rnacentral:ribozyme from 11 species
AAAAGAAAAGUAAAAAUGCAGCCCUCACGGCUAAAUCGACGCCUUCCUUGAGACUUCCUUGUCUGUCUCUCUGCCUUUCUUCCUUCCUUUCUUUCUUUGUCUGUGUGCUGUGUCUGUCUGGUUUGAUGUCAACAGUCAAACAAUCAAUCAGUCAAAGUUUUUCGUCGCAGUGACCGACCCAAAGAAAGAAAAAGAAAGGAAAGGACUU